AAAGGAAAGAAGGAAAGGAAAGAAGGAAAGGAAAGAAGGAACGAAUUUAUUCGAGGCAGAAUGUUCUUUCCUUUUUAACGAUUCAACGGUAGAUGUUUUGUCCAAGAUACUCUUUCUAAGGGUCACCUGACAAAUAUUUAGCUUUAUCGUGGGCAUCAUAAGUUAUGGGAGACCGACAACAGUUCUGUGUGAGGAAGUAUUUCGAUUUGUUCAAGGCAUAUGGGCAGUCACGGUAGAUUAAAAGGAAUUAGUAAAAAAUCAAUGUACAGGAUUAGUCAUUAUGGUUUCAUGUUCGAAUAAGGAGGAUCCCAUAAGCGUCAUAUGUCGUUCAAUUUUCCACAUUUUCCAUAGCACCGUCCAUAUGACGUAUCUCUUCUUGUUUAAAAGGUGAUCAUCGUUCUGAGAAAUGUAACACAAUUUAUGAUAAUUUUAUUCUUGAAUUUUAAAAAGAUCUAGAUAUAAGCAAUAAAAUGACCAAUCACGACUGAUGAACUUCAAUAUUUCAAACGAGUUAAACGAUGAUUUAUUAAUCAAACAAAUCAAAUUAAAUUUGUUUGAAUCUUUAUCUACGACCGAAGGAUUUUAAUAUUCAUUCAAGAUCGAAUAAAUUUUGGUUUUGCCAAACAGUCUAUGGAUCGAAAUACGUUUGAGAAUACGCAAAUGAGGAUAUAUGUGUACAUAUAUAUAUAUAUAUAGAUGAAUGGAAAAUACGCGACAAACAUCCACCAGUUAGACAUCCAACAGUUAGUGAGACAACUAGAAAGGUGACUAGAAAGACGCGAGAUGUGAGAUCGAGUGAAUGCGGUAGCAUCUGCCACUAUCGUUUUGGAGUUUGCGCUUCCCAGGCUCCCGAGAUGCACCUGGUCCUCCGUCUGGUUGCCGGUGCAUUUGCUUCUCUUCUCUCUUUCUUAUUUCUUUCUUCUUUUCUUUAUCUCCAUCUUUCUUUACUUCGUUCGAUGCGGAUAUGUUCUCUUAAACUUAAAUUUAGUGAAUAAGAAGGAGAGAUAGAAUAAAAAUGAAAAUAAAUAGUAGAAAGGAAGUAUCCUAAAUCUGUUGAAUUAAAAUAAACCCACGCAGCACAUAUCGUAGA